rnacentral:rRNA from 1 species
AUAGGCCGGGUGUGUAAGCGCAGCGAUGCGUUGAGCUAACCGGUACUAAUGAACCGUGAGGCUUAACCUUA